UGACCAGUGUUUUUUGGAUUUUGGCGGGAACAUUUAGGUUUAGGUCUAGGUGCUUGGCUAUGGCGGUUCUUUGGCGAUCUCGUUUCUCAGGAUCCGGCAGCGAAGAUGUAGCAGUUGUAUUGGAUAAUUUGAUCUAUUGGAGGCUUUCCAACUGGAGAAGUUAAGACUUUGGAUGAUAUGUCUGAGUUCCAGGGAGCGAAGAUAGUAGUAUUGCGCAGUUCAAUCUUAAGUUUGUGC